UUUUUUCCUUCUUUUUUCUUUUUUUUUUCUAUCAUGCCAAUGUUCACUUCCCAGAAUCCAUAAAAUGGUGAAGCCAAAAUAAUGGAGACGAUUUUCCACAAGGCACAAGAUGCCUAAAAAUAGUUGUAUCCGGGCAGCGUAACCAGGUUCAAAGAUUUUCAAGCAAAUUGUGCAUGGCCCUUACAUCUUCAGAGUAUCAAGGGCUGAUAAUGAUGAAGAGCUAAAAUUCAUCAUAGAAUAUCUCCAAACACUAGGAACUAAUGCAGAGUUAAGUGGGUCUAGAGUCUAGAAAGGGCCAUAAGCUCCCCAAGGUUGAAAAUGAUUUUUGAGCAUUAAAUAUAAGUUCAGUAAGUUAAGAGAAUGGUUUUCUAAGCUAGCCUAUCUUCAACACCAUAUAGUAGCUGUGGAAGAAGGGUUGUUGGUGGGGGGGGGGGGGCCGCCGCGGCUGCGUUUG
rnacentral:misc_RNA from 1 species